UACGGGGGGGGUAAGCGUUGUUCGGAAUUACUGGGCGUAAAGGGCUCGUAGGCGGCCAACUAAGUCAGACGUGAAAUCCCUCAGCUUAACUGGGGAACUGCGUCUGAUACUGGAUGGCUUGGAUUCGGGAGAGGGAUGCGGAAUUCCAGGUGUAGCGGUGAAAUGCGUAGAUAUCUGGAGGAACACCGGUGGCGAAGGCGGCAUCCUGGACCGACACUGACGCUGAGGAGCGAAAGCCAGGGGAGCAAACGGG
rnacentral:rRNA from 1 species